GGUUUACAACAACAACACAAUCACAACCAUCCAACGAGGCGGACGUAUUUUACGGGACGAUUGGCAACCUUGCUUUUUAUCACCUCUGGGCUUUUAUAAAAUUCCAAAUAUGUAAUGGAACAUUGUUUAGGUGGGACCGGCCACCCAUGGAAAAUAACAGCUUUUUUCCAGUGUUUCUGCAUCCCCCCUUCCCUCUUCCAAAAUUUGCAAAUUCCACUCAAGGUACUCUUUGUCUCCAUUGAAUUGCUAACCGUGCAUGCUCAUGCUCAGCCCUGGGCGUGUUUGAUUCUCAACGGCUCUCCACGAUCAUCCUGUUUUGUCUUUUGAGUCAAGAAAUUUAUUUAUUUGUUUAUUUGUCAUGAACAUUAUUUUUAUAAUGGCCAUCAUUUUAUGGAGGGAAUACUUGCACACUGCCAAUCCUAAAAUUUUAGAGGACAGAGGAACAAAAUUAGCACCCCACACAUUUCAAUUU